GUUCCUAUUGUUGCUGACCUUCUUGUUGAGUGUUGCAUUUAGUGCUGAUCAUGGACUCUUUAAAGAUUGUUCCAGAGUUCCAUUUUGCACGAAUUUUCGUCAUCUACAACUAAAUGAAAAUGAUCAAUUCAAAGCUCAGAUUUCUUCUCUCGCUCAAGACAAUAAUGUUGCCAAGAUUGCUCUGACUGAUGGUAAAAAUAGACGACUUGAAUUGCAAAUAACGUUCCUUCAAGGCCGCAAACUGAGAUUGAAAGUUCUGGAGAAAAACAAUCCCCGAUAUGAACUUCAACACGUGCUUG